ACGGGAGGCAGCAGUGAGGAAUAUUGGUCAAUGGAGGGAACUCUGAACCAGCCAUGCCGCGUGAAGGAAGACGGCCUUAUGGGUUGUAAACUUCUUUUGUAGAGGGACAAUAAGUCGUACGUGUACGAUGAUGAGUGUACUUUACGAAUAAGCAUCGGCUAACUCCGUGCCAGCAGCCGCGGUAAUACGGAGGAUGCGAGCGUUAUCCGGAUUUAUUGGGUUUAAAGGGUGCGUAGGCUGGCGAUUAAGUCAGGGGUGAAAUACCGUCGCUUAACGAUGGAACUGCCUUUGAUACUGAUUGUCUUGAGUGUAUAUGAGGUAAGCGGAAUGUGCAGUGUAGCGGUGAAAUGCUUAGAUAUUGCACAGAACACCGAUUGCGAAGGCAGCUUACUAAUAUAUAACUGACGCUGAGGCACGAAAGUGUGGGGAUCAAACAGGAUUAGAUACCCUGGUA
rnacentral:rRNA from 1 species